rnacentral:rRNA from 2 species
GGGUUGUGAGGUUAAGCGACUAAGCGUACACGGUGGAUGCCCUGGCAGUCAGAGGCGAUGAAGGGCGUGCUAAUCUGCGAUAAGCGCCGGUAAGGUGAUAUGAACCGUUAUAACCGGCGAUACCCGAAUGGGGAAACCCAGUGUGAUUCGUCACACUAUCAUUACGUGAAUACAUAGCGUAAUGAAGCGAACCGGGGGAACUGAAACAUCUAAGUACCCCGAGGAAAAGAAAUCAACCGAGAUUCCCCCAGUAGCGGCGAGCGAACGGGGAGGAGCCCAGAGCCUGAAUCAGCAUGUGUGUUAGUGGAAGCGUCUGGAAAGGCGCGCGAUACAGGGUGACAGCCCCGUACACAAAAGCGCAUGUGUUGUGAGCUCGAUGAGUAGGGCGGGACACGUGGUAUCCUGUCUGAAUAUGGGGGGACCAUCCUCCAAGGCUAAAUACUCCUGACUGACCGAUAGUGAACCAGUACCGUGAGGGAAAGGCGAAAAGAACCCCGGCGAGGGGAGUGAAAAAGAACCUGAAACCGUGUACGUACAAGCAGUGGGAGCACCCUUUGGGGUGUGACUGCGUACCUUUUGUAUAAUGGGUCAGCGACUUAUAUUCUGUAGCAAGGUUAACCGAAUAGGGGAGCCGGAGGGAAACCGAGUCUUAAUUGGGCGUUAAGUUGCAGGGUAUAGACCCGAAACCCGGUGAUCUAGCCAUGGGCAGGUUGAAGGUUGGGUAACACUAACUGGAGGACCGAACCGACUAAUGUUGAAAAAUUAGCGGAUGACCUGUGGCUGGGGGUGAAAGGCCAAUCAAACCGGGAGAUAGCUGGUUCUCCCCGAAAGCUAUUUAGGUAGCGCCUCGUGAAUUCAUCUCCGGGGGUAGAGCACUGUUUCGGCUAGGGGGCCAUCCCGGCUUACCAACCCGAUGCAAACUGCGAAUACCGGAGAAUGUUAUCACGGGAGACACACGGCGGGUGCUAACGUCCGUCGUGAAGAGGGAAACAACCCAGACCGCCAGCUAAGGUCCCAAAGUCAUGGUUAAGUGGGAAACGAUGUGGGAAGGCCCAGACAGCCAGGAUGUUGGCUUAGAAGCAGCCAUCAUUUAAAGAAAGCGUAAUAGCUCACUGGUCGAGUCGGCCUGCGCGGAAGAUGUAACGGGGCUAAACUAUGCACCGAAGCUGCGGCAGCGACACUAUGUGUUGUUGGGUAGGGGAGCGUUCUGUAAGCCUGUGAAGGUGUGUCGUGAGGCAUGCUGGAGGUAUCAGAAGUGCGAAUGCUGACAUAAGUAACGAUAAAGCGGGUGAAAAGCCCGCUCGCCGGAAGACCAAGGGUUCCUGUCCAACGUUAAUCGGGGCAGGGUGAGUCGACCCCUAAGGCGAGGCCGAAAGGCGUAGUCGAUGGGAAACGGGUUAAUAUUCCCGUACUUGGUGUUACUGCGAAGGGGGGACGGAGAAGGCUAUGUUGGCCGGGCGACGGUUGUCCCGGUUUAAGCGUGUAGGUGUGUGUUCCAGGUAAAUCCGGUUCACUUUAACACUGAGGCGUGACGACGAGGCACUACGGUGCUGAAGCAACAAAUGCCCUGCUUCCAGGAAAAGCCUCUAAGCAUCAGGUAACAUCAAAUCGUACCCCAAACCGACACAGGUGGUCAGGUAGAGAAUACCAAGGCGCUUGAGAGAACUCGGGUGAAGGAACUAGGCAAAAUGGUGCCGUAACUUCGGGAGAAGGCACGCUGACACGUAGGUGAAGUGAUUUACUCAUGGAGCUGAAGUCAGUCGAAGAUACCAGCUGGCUGCAACUGUUUAUUAAAAACACAGCACUGUGCAAACACGAAAGUGGACGUAUACGGUGUGACGCCUGCCCGGUGCCGGAAGGUUAAUUGAUGGGGUCAGCGCAAGCGAAGCUCCUGAUCGAAGCCCCGGUAAACGGCGGCCGUAACUAUAACGGUCCUAAGGUAGCGAAAUUCCUUGUCGGGUAAGUUCCGACCUGCACGAAUGGCGUAAUGAUGGCCAGGCUGUCUCCACCCGAGACUCAGUGAAAUUGAACUCGCUGUGAAGAUGCAGUGUACCCGCGGCAAGACGGAAAGACCCCGUGAACCUUUACUAUAGCUUGACACUGAACAUUGAGCCUUGAUGUGUAGGAUAGGUGGGAGGCUUUGAAGCGUGGACGCCAGUCUGCGUGGAGCCGACCUUGAAAUACCACCCUUUAAUGUUUGAUGUUCUAACGUGGACCCGUGAUCCGGGUUGCGGACAGUGUCUGGUGGGUAGUUUGACUGGGGCGGUCUCCUCCUAAAGAGUAACGGAGGAGCACGAAGGUUGGCUAAUCCUGGUCGGACAUCAGGAGGUUAGUGCAAUGGCAUAAGCCAGCUUGACUGCGAGCGUGACGGCGCGAGCAGGUGCGAAAGCAGGUCAUAGUGAUCCGGUGGUUCUGAAUGGAAGGGCCAUCGCUCAACGGAUAAAAGGUACUCCGGGGAUAACAGGCUGAUACCGCCCAAGAGUUCAUAUCGACGGCGGUGUUUGGCACCUCGAUGUCGGCUCAUCACAUCCUGGGGCUGAAGUAGGUCCCAAGGGUAUGGCUGUUCGCCAUUUAAAGUGGUACGCGAGCUGGGUUUAGAACGUCGUGAGACAGUUCGGUCCCUAUCUGCCGUGGGCGCUGGAGAACUGAGGGGGGCUGCUCCUAGUACGAGAGGACCGGAGUGGACGCAUCACUGGUGUUCGGGUUGUCAUGCCAAUGGCACUGCCCGGUAGCUAAAUGCGGAAGAGAUAAGUGCUGAAAGCAUCUAAGCACGAAACUUGCCCCGAGAUGAGUUCUCCCUGAGACUUAAAGUCUCCUGAAGGAACGUUGAAGACGACGACGUUGAUAGGCCGGGUGUGUAAGCGCAGCGAUGCGUUGAGCUAACCGGUACUAAUGAACCGUGAGGCUUAACCUUACAACGCCGAAG